rnacentral:lncRNA from 1 species
CUUGACUUGCUGUUGCCAGAGAACAUACGUUGCAUCAGUUAGUUUAACCACAUCAUGAUGGGGAAAGGAAUGUACCACACGUUCACCAUUGAAGAGAACAGCACUCGGCUCAGUCGAGUCAGAAUCAGCAGAGGUUGUGAUGACCAUAAAGCCCAAGAUCAGCCGGCGAAAAAUACCAUAUUAGAAACCAGGUAAAAAUAAAAGAAACUGUUCUUCUUUGAUUUAUGAAACUUGCUUUAUUACAUGCUCACUUGAAAUCCUUUUAUAUAGACUUCCUCAACUGCUCUUAACAGCUUAACAAUAUUCAACAGCUAAUUAACAGACUAACAGCUAACAAUCUAACUAACUGAUCCUUUACAGUUGGCAAGAUAGAUGGUGG